AGUGAACGCUGGCGGUAGGCCUAACACAUGCAAGUCGAACGGCAGCACAGGAGAGCUUGCUCUCUGGGUGGCGAGUGGCGGACGGGUGAGGAAUACAUCGGAAUCUACCUUUUCGUGGGGGAUAACGUAGGGAAACUUACGCUAAUACCGCAUACGACCUUCGGGUGAAAGCAGGGGACCUUCGGGCCUUGCGCGGAUAGAUGAGCCGAUGUCGGAUUAGCUAGUUGGCGGGGUAAAGGCCCACCAAGGCGACGAUCCGUAGCUGGUCUGAGAGGAUGAUCAGCCACACGGGAACUGUGACACGGUCCAGACUCCUACGGGAGGCAGCAGUGGGGAAUAUUGGACAAUGGGCGCAAGCCUGAUCCAGCCAUACCGCGUGGGUGAAGAAGGCCUUCGGGUUGUAAAGCCCUUUUGUUGGGAAAGAAAAGCAGCCAGUUAAUACCUGGUUGUUCUGACGGUACCCAAAGAAUAAGCACCGGCUAACUUCGUGCCAGCCGCCGCGGUAACAC
rnacentral:rRNA from 1 species